GCUCUCGUCGUUCAAUGGAUAGGACAUCUCCCUCCGAAGGAGGAAAUGCAGGUUCGAUUCCUGCCGAGAGCA
rnacentral:tRNA from 1 species